AAGUCGUAACAAGGUUUCCGUAGGUGAACCUGCGGAAGGAUCAUUAACACGUAUCCACGUAUCCACCCUUUAGUGCAUUUGUUUUCACCUCUCCCUUCAUCUCACAUGAAUUGGCUAGUGUUGUAUUCGAUCAGUUGAAUAGGUCGCUUCUGCGUCAUUCGAUACAACAUGACAUUACAAUUGGAGUGAGUAUGGUAGGUUUCUCUUUUCUUUUUCACCUUUCCUUUCGCUAAUCUUCUCUAUUCACGAAGGUUUCCGAUUGGAUCGAAAAAGAAAAUCCAUCAUACACACCUUUCACAACAAUUUUUGCUAGUUGACUUUUUUUCAACGUUGAUUAGUUUACUAAUUGACACGUUUGAAAUAUCUUAUUUCAACUUAUUGAAACAACUCUUAGCAAUGGAUAUCUUGGUUCUC
rnacentral:misc_RNA from 1 species